ensembl:snoRNA small nucleolar RNA, C/D box 101
GUUUGAAUGAUGACUCUCAAACAUGUCGGAUACCCCUUCACUCUUUUUAUGAGUGAUAAAAGUAGUCUGACAAAC